UACAGAGACUGCAAGCGUUAUUCGGAUUCACUGGGCGUAAAGGGUGCGCAGGCGGCCGUGUGUGUGAGGCGUGAAAGCCCGGGGCUUAACCCCGGAAUUGCACCUCAAACUACAUGGCUAGAGCAUUGGAGAGGGUAGCGGAAUUCACGGUGUAGCAGUGAAAUGCGUAGAUAUCGUGAGGAACACCAGAGGCGAAGGCGGGCUACUGGGCCGAUACUGACGCUGAUGCGCGAAAGCCAGGGGAGCGAACGGG
rnacentral:rRNA from 1 species